AUUUAGGAAGAUUGCUGUUUGCAUGUGUUUUGGAUUGCAUAAUUCUGAUUAUAGCAAGGGAUGCAUGAUGCAAAUUAAAUCAGAAGAAUCAACCAUCUGAAGAAAAACUGAGCAGUGGCGGAUCCAGGGGGAGGGUUCCAGGAGUUGGAACCCCCAUUAUUCUGACGAUCAAUGCAUUUGAAUGAGGACAUAUGGUUGGACCCCCUCCCCCUAUCCUGAGUUAGGAACCCCCCCUUUUGAAAAUAGCUGGAUUCACCCCUGCUGAGGUCAUCUUUAAAAGUCAAACCGCACUUUUUGAAGUCCAGCUGGACUUUAUAGAGUUCAGCUGGACUUUUUAAAGUUCAGCCAGACUUUGUAAAGUCCGGCUGAACUUUAUAAAGUCCAUAUUUUUGCCAGAAAUGCCGGCUGGAUUUUUUUUCAGACGUACUUUUAUUAAAGUCCAGCUGGACUUUAUGAACCGGACUCCUGCUAAUUUAAAUAUUUCGAGCCGGUUUACGGCUAAUUUCGCUGAAAGUCCAGCCGGGGUAUCUAUUAUAAGCAAUUCAAAGAAAAGUCCAAAUGAAUAUUAUAAGUACGGUUCUCAGUACGGCUA